AGAAUACCUAUCAAAACGUUCCAAGAUAUCCUUCUAAGGCCAAACCAUCGAGUCCGUUGACAUUGUCUUGCCAUUGUCAGACAUUCUGGCAUUUGCGUCAGAAAUUUUUUGUUUGUUUGAGUUAAACAUAUCUGCUAUUAUCAUUUGCGGGGGGUAACCGACAGUGUAGCCAUAACGUUAUUGGAAAAUCGCGUUUUCUUUCACCUGCUAUGCAGUCUCGUUCGUCUAUCGAACUGGUAGGGGUGCUUGCCCCUGCAAAAGUUUAUGGAGUUCGCACUUAGAAAUGAUGGGGAACAUUGUGUUGAACAUUUGGAACAUUGUGGAACAUUGUGGAACUGGUAUGAACAAUGUGGAACAUUUGGACACACAUUUAUUUGGUAUUGUUUCAAUUUCUUUCUUGCAACAACAACAACAUCCCCAGGCCUGCAUCAAUUUUGUUGGCAUUGGCAACGAAUGGUGAACAAUCAAAAAUGGUGUCUUGAACCAAGCCAGAAAACUUAUGAAAUGGUGAGGCACGAGGUUAUCAUUAGAUAUGGACCAUACCAGUCUUGUCAUUUGGUAAAACACACCGAAGAUCGACUUGAUGGUCUCCAAUACAUUCUUAAAGAAGAUGGUCAUUCUGUAUCCGUUUUGAAUUCUGAAGAAUGGAAUGUUGUUGAACUUAUUGUACAUGAAGAAGUUGUUUUUAGAUGCCAGAUACAAGAGCUAGAUUUUGGUGGGGAUGGAAAGCUUGAUCCACUGUGCCUUCAAGCAUUGGCAGCAGUACAAAAAGCAUAUUGAAAUUCAUAUCUAAAGGCAUUUGGUUAUUGGAGUGCAAAGUUCCUAGAAAUGUGUCUUGUUCUUGUGGAGAGACCAAAGCAGACAUACAAAACACAUUAUGUAAAUAGUCUAUUUAAACAUAUAUGAAUCUUUUAACUCAAGUAUGAUUCAUGAAGGAAUUUCCUCGUUUGUUUUUAACCAAAAAAUCAUCUGUUACACUGUUUUCGAAACUUUAUAUCUACGCUGGUUUCGAAAAAUAAUCGAGCUGCUUUUGGGAUUAACAGGAAAUCGGUAGCGGUAGUUUAAGACUUUAAUUGGAAGUUUAGAAGUUUUUUUUAUUUUUUCAUGAGAUGAAAAUGGAAAUUUUGAUAUAGCAUUAUUCCAUUUCAUGGCUGUUACUGGCAUAAAAGAAUAGAAAAAUUAUAAACAGACUAUGUUAGAUUGAUAAAAUCUAAGGAAUGAAAUAUUGUUGAGUUGCAGCGAUAAUAACAAUAAUUGCAAUAAAAAAUAAGAACUUUUGGAAUGUCAGAAGUGUUCAAUGAAGAUCAAGUAAUUUCAAACGAGUUAAUUAUUUUUUUUGCUCUAUACUCAUCCCUCGUACAAUUUUCGUGAAGAUAUUACUGCACACUUGUCAAAUUUUGUUUCCAAACGUUUGAGAUCCAUUGCUCUACCUAAUUAGGUCUAUUAUUUUUAUUUUCCUUUCUAAACUGUGUGACGUAAAUAUGCCGGGGACUAUGCGGCUUUCCAUUUGGUCUGGAAAGUCCGAAUCUCCCAUGAAAUUUUACAUCGUAUUCUUAUUCCACAAUAAGAAACGGAUUACCAUUCACAGUUUUCUCUAGCAUGGGGUUGGCAAUAGAUUCCUUUUGUUGCUUGUCGGACUUUAAUGUUUUCUUGGACGUGAUAUUAAACGGCCUAAAGAAAGGACACUAUCAUUUAAGAGAGAAAACGUAGGGACAGCGCACAUAUUACAUAAUGAAAAUUGGAAAAUUUAAAUUAAAUUUAAAUUAAAUUAAUUUAAAAACUCUUCCCCUAAAUUAUCAGUUAAUAAGCAGUAGCUAUAGGCCAUAACAACCACGACAAACGUUUGUGUUUUUCCCCCUCCACCUUCUUUGAUUAUGUAAUAUGUAAACGUCUCCAUGCACAACUGCCAAUGCAUAUAUAAUUAUUAUUUGGUCUAGUUACAACCAUUUUGAUUGGGAAGCAAAUGAAUGGUUGAUUUUUCUUCUGCUCGUAGUUGUUUCUGGGAAAACACAAGUUCAUUUUUGCUCUUUUCAUCACCAGAAGGGGGGGUACCAGGUAUUUUGGCGUGAUUGCGUGAUCGGCGUAUUUUCAAUGCUUGAGUUCGUGAAAAAAAAUUUUAUUAUACGUGAAUGCGUGAAUAGACAUUGCCGCGUGACCUGUGAAUCAGCAUUACACAUGCGUGAUUGCGUGAAAAUGAGUGUUGUACACUCUUUUUUUAUAAGAAGCAGUAAACUUAAGUUCAGGCUGACUGUUCUUAAUUUUUUCGAAAAUCUGAGGCUUAAUUGUUCUUGAUUUGUUCUAAAUCGAUUAGGGUGUAAGCAUUGCGAGUGCUAGCUUUUUCGCUCUAGGGUGGUGUGCAAGGCCUCAUUUGCCAACAAAGUGAGUGAGAAAGCCUUGAUUUGCUGACAAAUGUGAAACUUUGGAGUAGCCAUCAUUGUUGUACUUUUUUUGCAUAAACUUAUAAAGGGAAAUCACAACAAGGCUUCUUAUUAGCGCCCCCUUUUUUAAAAAUAGUUCGAUUGUUCUUAACAUUCUGAACAAUAUGAACCAGAACAUUUCUGUACCCAGACCGGUUCACAUGCUAAAUUUCACCAUUCUUUUCGGUUCCCUUUUUUUUAAAGGCUUGGGUACAUUUUUGUAUAAACAAAAUUGUCACCCGUUUGUGUACCCGGACCGUUAUGCAUGCUAAAUUCCACCAUUUGUUUGAGUACCCUAUUGUUUAGGUGCUUGGGUACGUUUUUGCAUAACCAAAAUUGUCAUACUUUUGUGUACCCGGACCGAAACGCAUAAGGUUACCGAAACGCAUGCGACACCGGUACCCAGUGCUUCCACAAAUGACAAUGCGGGUUUCCUUAAACGAGGCUGAAAUUUCCUUAGAUUUCCUCAGACGUCAUUUGAAAUUUCCUUGGAUAUUUUCUUGAAAGUUCGAAACUUAAUUUAGAGUGAACAUAAAAAUUUUCGUUAAAUUGAAGCUUAUCGUUCAUGUCUAAAAGUAUGCUGUGAAUCUGAUAUCUUUCGUUAUCAAAAUAUGUACCAAGAAUUGCUAGCUGACUUUGUGUAGAUCGAUCUUUUUUCUCGUCAAUGAUCAAGGAGAUCGUGUUACCUUGUAGCUUUGGGGAACCUUCUCUUAAAAAAUUGAACUUGACGUAUAAGGUUAGUUGUCUUCUGUUUUCCAAGUGAGCAUCUGCUUAAUGUCUUAUCCUUGGGAUAUAUUGAUAGGCAAAUUUUUUUCUGCAAUGAAACUAGCAUUUUUAAGUUCCAUCCUUGUAGCUUCCUUGUCACUUUGGCCAGGCAUGGAAUCAAUUUUCUUGUUUGUUGUUUCCAGUGUUGCUGACCUUGCCAUAACUUCUUUAUGGGCAGAGUCUUGAUAUAUGGCUAGAGCUGCUUUAGAGCAGCAUACGUUCAUCUUACCCACUUGGCACCAAGGUUGAAAUUUGCCAGUGUCAUUAGUUAUCUUCUUCAACCAUUGCUUAAAUGUAGGGAUUGUUAAGUCAUGAAUCAUGAAACUUUUGUUCAUAUUAUUUUUUGGAAGGCUUUACCUUCGCUUCAACAUAAUUACGUUUCAUUUCUACUCGCUUAACUCCACCAUUUCUUAACCAAAGUCUUAAUCAAAAUAGUUAACAGUAGCUGACCUACACCAACAACACAGCAGUCCAAAGGGAUUAUCUGAGAAAAUUUUCUUUAAAACACCCAUGUGCAUAAGGAAUUUCACAUAUCAAAUCGAUUUAACAAAGCUGUUCUGACGAUCCAACAGCGAGGAAUCAAAAAAAAUUAUAAUAAAAAAUGAAAUUUAAAAUUUCCUUAAAAUUUCCUCAAAAUAUCAAUUUCCUUAAAUAUUUCCUUAAACGGACCAAAUUUCCUUAAUCUGAGGAAAUUUCCUUAAAAGUGGAAGCACUGCCGGUACCAGACCUGGUAAAAUGUCCCCCUUAUUCAGAGAUUCCAAUGCCGAUGGCUUUGCCAACAAGAAGUUACUAGUAUUAGAUAGUUAUAUAAAAAUCAGAGAGCUUCUAGAGGGCGUGAUGGUGAAAUUAAACUUCCAGUACCAUGAAAGCGCGAUUUGCAAUUAUUUUACGCGUGAUUCCGUGAUUCAGCGUAGAUACCUGGUAGCUACCCCCCAGAAGAUAAUACUUACUUUUCUAGUGUAAUAUAUAAAUGAUUCUUUCUCAGCUCAUAUGCACGCAGUCAAAAAGUCUGAAUAUAUGUGAAUAUAAGUGGCACUCGAGGUAAAUUGCAUUAGUCGUAAGUCAAGUAAAAGUAUAUGGUUAGUCAUUAGUCUUGGGUUUUACACAAAAUUAGUCAUUAGUCAGUUGGUAAAACAGUCUGUUAGUCACCUAGUCAAAACACUUCUACACCCUCUAAUAUGACCUCUACUUGUCUUUUGACGUCAGACAUUUUGCGGAUUCAAGUUUGUCAUAGUAUAUUCGAAGGCAAAUUAGCUACAGGGGAAAUCCUCUGUUUAUAUAAAGAGGAGGAAAACUGCCUAUUGUUUAACACAAUGCAAAGUCACACUGGGGUUGGAGGGGCAAUUGCCCACCUAACCAGUAUGUUGAAAAUGGCCCUGAAGUUUAUAGCAGUUAUCCAAGUUCAACAGCUAAAGACGUCUAAAAAUCGGUUGAAACGUCAUGAGCUGCACUAUCCUUCUCAAGGGCUUCCGUACAAGGUCCAAUCAGGGACCGCGGAAAUGGGGGAACCCCCCCCCCUCCCCAUAAUUUCCACAGUGUACUUAAAACCAAACAAAAAUCGCCCUGCUCUUGGAUUUUAGCAUGUUUAGCCCUCAAAAACGUUCUAGCCCCCUCAAUCUCUAAUAUACUCCACGGUCCUUGCAUCACAACGAUUUAUUCCAACUCCAGAAUGAAUUGCAUGAUGAAGCUAGUUAGAACAGAACCCCUCUUAACCCCUUCAAUUAAUACCUUUUUCCGUUUAAUGUUUGUGAAAUCGUCAGAUUCAACAAUCAGAUUCAAAUAUCUUGGAAAACCGUCAGAAACGGAAUACAAUUUGAUUGCUGCCGUUCGUAGAACAGAAAUAAUAUGCACACAUACUUCUGGAGCUGAGACGGUCUGAAACGGAAUAAAAUUCUGUAUGCCAUUGUAGUCUGUUCCGCGUUGUAACCACUGAUUCAAAAAAGGAUUAGAUAGCUGAAAACCGCAAAUAUACGUGAUUCAUUAAUGACGUUAACAACGCACGCAAUACAUGUUCAGUUACCCGAUUACAAUAACAAGGAAGUUAGUGAUUUGGUUCCGGAACAAACCAAUAAAAACCGGCGUUUUGCUCUUCUACCUCAAUUGCCAAUCUUGAUCACUUUAGCUGCCAGUGACCUGAGGUUGAAUCAGAAAAAAAUUAUGAAGAUCUCAAUACUCUUCGCGGUUUUACUUGCUAUUGCCCUCUUGGUAGAGGAAGGACAAUGCUGGGGACGCAGAAGAAGAAGGAGGAGGAGAAGGUCUGGUGGCCCAUGGAGUAUUAGUAAUGGUGGUGUUACGUACAAGUUCAGAAAUGGAGCCUCAGUCACUGGACAUGGCAGCUUUAAAAAUGGCGGUUCAGUAGGUGUCAAGGUCACUAUACCCUUUGGCAGAAAAAGACGAUCUGUUGCCGAUGACACCGACGUGGAUGUGAAGAAACUUAUUCCAGCCGAAGAAGUAACAGCAAUUCCACCAGUUUUUGAUGUCGAUGAUAAAAAGAAAGCAAAGCUUGAAGAAAAGCAACCCGAGAUCGAAAAAAGUGACGAAAGCCUGGUCGCACUUCGCCAGAGUCAAGAUAGAGAAGACAACUGCGACGAAUGUCUAGAUAUUCAACCUUUCAAAAUAAACGACCGAGCUGUUGAAAAUAAGACCAUAAAGAACAACGAUUUUGUCAUGGUUGUCAAGUACAUCGAAGAAAAUAUUUCAGCAUUGAAACUACAAGCCAAAAUCAAAUUUGAGGUAUUUGAUGUCGUGAAAAGUCCUGUUGAUAGUGUCAAAGAAGGAGAAACCUUCACAAUCAAUGCAGAAAUGGCCAAGUGUCCAUGCUUGUCGAUUCUCGACCCAGGCUACUACAUUGUAACGGGAUCUGUCAAUGCUGAAGGCAAACUGGUUUUGUCAAAUGUUCUCAUGGAAUUUGAACGUUAAAUUAAUAUGUAUUUAAUAUUUAUAUGUACAGCUAUUAUUUACAAAACUUUCUUUUAUUGAAAA